rnacentral:rRNA from 1 species
UACAGAGGUCUCGAGCGUUAAUCGGAUUCAUUGGGCUUAAAGCGUACGUAGGCGGAUGUGCAGGCAUCGUGUGAAAUCCCCUGGCUCAACCAGGGAACUGCUCGGUGAACCGCACGUCUUGAGGCAAGUAGAGGCUGUCGGAACGAUAGGUGGAGCGGUGAAAUGCGUAGAUAUCUAUCGGAACGCCGAAGGUGAAAACAGGCAGCUGGGCUUGAUCUGACGCUGAGGUACGAAAGCGUGGGGAGCGAACGGGG